CUAGGUCUCAGUUCAGAUUGCAGGCUGCAACCCGCCUGCAUGAAGUCGGAAUUGCUAGUAAUCGCGGAUCAGCAUGCCGCGGUGAAUACGUUCCCGGGCCUUGUACACACCGCCCGUCACACCAUGGGGGANCCGGUAAUACCCGAAGUCAGUAGUCCAACCUCGUGAGGACGCUGCCGAAGGUAGGAUUGGCGACUGGGGUGAAGUCGUAACAAGGUAGC
rnacentral:rRNA from 1 species